UACGUAGGGUGCGAGCGUUGUCCGGAAUUAUUGGGCGUAAAGAGCUCGUAGGCGGUCUGUCGCGUCGAUCGUGAAAACUUGGGGCUUAACCCUGAGCUUGCGGUCGAUACGGGCAUAACUGGAGUUCGGCAGGGGAGACUGGAAUUCCUGGUGUAGCGGUGAAAUGCGCAGAUAUCAGGAGGAACACCGAUUGCGAAGGCAGCUCGCUGGGACGGUACUGACGCUGAGGCGCGAAAGCGUGGGGAGCGAACAGG
rnacentral:rRNA from 1 species